ACGAGAAAGGCAAACCCGCCGAAAGGCGGGGGCGCAAAGCCACGGGUCUAAAGCCCAGAUGGGCUAUGACAGCCGGGCUGCCGAA
rnacentral:ncRNA from 1 species